rnacentral:sRNA from 1 species
CUACAGGGAUACAUCUGCAAAGAACGCCACAUCGUGUGGCAAAGCAGAUGUGACAAACUUCGUGUUUG